AACCUUAUGGACCUGCGGGCGUAUACCUGCGGAGGGAUCAUUAACUAUUUGGGGAGAUUCAGUGCUUGAUGCUGGAUGUGGGCGUGUUUUCUCGGGAAUGAUAACCCGCACUAGCCGGUGAAAGCAGGCUGUAGUGUUGCUCUCUUCAGGGAGAGCCCCGCGGCGCUUGUCGUGAUGAGGGUUAGAAGCCUGGGGGGCUCGGUCUGCAUUUGGUGCUUGGUGCUGCGUCUUCUCCAUCUA
rnacentral:misc_RNA from 1 species